rnacentral:rRNA from 1 species
UACGGAGGGUGCAAGCGUUGUUCGGAAUUACUGGGCGUAAAGCGCGUGUAGGCGGCUUGGCAAGUCGAAUGUGAAAGCCCCGGGCUCAACCCGGGAACUGCAUCCGAAACUGCCUCGCUAGAGUCUCGGAGAGGAAGGCAGAAUUCCCAGUGUAGGGGUGAAAUCCGUAGAUACUGGGAGGAAUACCGGCAGCGAAGGCGGCCUUCUGGACGAUGACUGACGCUGAGACGCGAAAGCGUGGGGAGCAAACAGG